ensembl:snRNA U1 U1 spliceosomal RNA
AUGCCUACCUGGCAGGCGAGGCACAGUGAUCAAACAGGCGGUUUUACCAGGAGUUCCCUGUACUCCUAGCGUGCUGACCCCUGCAAUUUCCCCAAAUUUGGGAAACUCAGUGAUGUAUUUUGUCAUAACAGCGGGCUGUGUAUGUACUCUUCUCUG